rfam:Parcubacteria bacterium GW2011_GWB1_43_6 TV98_C0025, whole genome shotgun sequence.
GCCCAGGUGGAGGAAUUGGCAGACUCGCAAGCUUGAGGGGCUUGUGCUCGCAAGAGCGUGAGGGGUCAAAUCCCUCUCUGGGCA